CAGCAGCCGCGGUAAUACAGAGGGUGCGAGCGUUAAUCGGAUUUACUGGGCGUAAAGCGCGCGUAGGUGGUUUGUUAAGUUGGAUGUGAAAACUCACAGCUUAACUGUGGGCGUGCGGGCGAUACGGGCAGACUAGAGUACUGCAGGGGAGACUGGAAUUCCUGGUGUAGCGGUGGAAUGCGCAGAUAUCAGGAGGAACACCGGUGGCGAAGGCGGGUCUCUGGGCAGUAACUGACGCUGAGGAGCGAAAGCGUGGGGAGCGAACAGGAUUAGAUACCCCUGUAGUCCCUGUCUCUUAUAC
rnacentral:rRNA from 1 species